rnacentral:misc_RNA from 1 species
AUACUAAUUCGUCACGAAGGUAGUAUGUACGUUUGAGACUCCCUGGAGAGGACUGACAGGUUUGGUCGCUAGGUGGCGUGGUUAGGAUGGACGACAGAGAGCGCUCCAUACUGAGGCGGAGUAGAAGUCUGUUCAUCCGGGACCUCGUGGAUGUUGUCACGGUGUGUGAUCGCUUGUACCAGAGGGAGGUGCUCAGCGAGGGGAUGAAGAACGAAAUAUUGUCCGAGACCACAAGAGAAAAUCAAAUUCGCACACUGAUGGAUAUAAUUCCAAAGCGAGGCCAGAAAGCUUAUGGGGCGUUCUAUGACGUUUUGGAAGAAACUUACCAGUACAACCUCGCCAGUAUUCUCUACCCUGGGGGUCGACCAAACACAACUCCAUAUCCUCCAAAAGCAGCAGUAGAACCUCGGCAGUAUGUUGGGUUACCUAAGACGCCUCUGCACAACUGGCUGACAGGAGCAAAGCGAGAACCGAUGGAGUCUAUCGGAGAAUUCCAGGCUCACAGAAAACCUGUAGAGUCCUUGGAUGAUGACCUCGUGGUGCCAAGUACGGAACUUCAUCCGGAACACCACAAAUCCUUAAAAGAGAAAGAUUUUCGGAAGUUAAGAACUACGGAAGAGGAUUUUGUUUUUCCAUAUGAUUGGCCGUCCGAGCAGAAUCAUGCACAGUCUAUGGAUUUUCAAAUCCGCCUUUCUCAACGUCCACAGGGUGAUUCUAAAGAAGACGAGCUUGCUGUCUACCGAAUGAAAGAAGCAACCCGAGGUAGACUAGUUAUCAUCAAUAACUUCCUGUUUGGUGAUGAGGUGGACAAAGAAAGAAUGGCACGGUCCCAGCAAGACGCCACAAGUUUGGACGUUCUCUUCAAACAGUUACACUUCCAGACAAAACAACACAGCAACCUUACGCUAAAGAACCUCUCCAGUGUGCUUGAGGGAGAGAGAACACGUGACCAUGCCUCUCUGGAAUGCUUUGUCAUGGUGAUCAUGUCACGUGGUGACGGAGAACGUCUGUAUGGCGUUGAUGGUUAUAAAAUAGACAUUGACACAAUCAUUUCCAUGUUUGAUAGUGAGCAUUGUAGCUAUCUUCGAGGGAAACCGAAGGUUUUUAUUUUUCAAACAUGCAGCGAUGCGCCUAAAACAGGCACCGCCGAGUUCCAAAAGAAAUCCAAAACACCAACAUCUUCGUCUUCGCUUACUUUAGAGGAUUCUGGCGACUUGAGGGCAGACAUGUUUGUUGUCAAGGCAACAAAAGACGGUAACUCAUUAUAUUGCGAAAGAUAAAUCACCUUAAUGUGGUCAGCGAGCCAGAGAUAGUGGAGUAUACAAGUUCAUUUACCAAGAAGUUAUUUUUUAAUCCCUGAAAACCUACAAACCUAGAUUUUUUCGAUAUCAUGUUUUCAAAAUACCGCAAAAAUGAACCCGGGGCUACUGCAAUGUGAAUAACUUUUGACGAGUACAAUUUGUUUCGUUUGGUGAAUUUCUUGAGUAGAAUUCUUCAAAUUUUGUAUGUGUUUUUGAUAAUGAUUUGACUUUGUACGUGUUUUUCUGAAUAAUCCAA